GAUGAAGAACGCAGCGAAAUGCGAUAAGUAGUGUGAAUUGCAGAAUUACCUGAAUCAUCGAAUCUUUGAACGCACAUUGCGCCCCCUGGUAUUCCUGGGGGCAUGCCUGUUCGAGCGUCAUUAACAACCAAUCGGGCGGGGCUUUUGCAUGCUCCCGCUCGGCCAUGGGGGAUGGACGUCGUCGGACGCCCACCCCCGAAAUGCAACGGCGGACGGCCAACCGUGGCACUGCGGCGUAGUAAGUUAACCCUUCGCGCGCGCCCACGGAGUGGACUGCCCGGCCGCUUGAACCCCCACACAUCCUACGGUUGACCUCGGAUCAGGUAGGGAUACCCGCUGAACUUAAGCAUAUCAAUAAGCGGAGGA
rnacentral:misc_RNA from 1 species